GUACAAAGGUAGCAUAAUCRUUAGUUUUUUAAUUGAAAACUUGUAUGAAUGGUUGAAUGAGAAAUUAACUUUUUUAAAAAAAUAAUUGAAUUUUACUUUUUAAUUAAAAGGUUAAAAUAAAUUUAAAAGACGAGAAGACCCUAUAGAGUUUUAUAAUUUUUAUUUAAUAUUUUAAAAAGAUAAAUUUAAAUUUUAUAAAAAAAAUUAUUUUGUUGGGGUGAUUAUAAAAUUUAAGAAACUUUUAUUUUUUUUUUACAUUAAUAUAUGAUUUUAUGAACCAUUAUUUAAUGAUUAAAAAUUUAAAUUACCUUAGGGAUAACAGCGUAAUUUUUUUUACAAGUUCAUAUUAAUAAAAAAUUUUGCGAC
rnacentral:rRNA from 1 species